AAUAAGUGCAGUUUUGCACUAUUCACGUUCAACGUUUGACCGUUCGUCUUAUUUGAAAUUUUUUUGUGAUUAGUAUUUUUAUUGCUAUUAGAUGAUAAAACAUGAAUAAUAUUUUAUGUGUGACUAAAUAUUUUUAAAUUUUUCAUAAAUUUUUCAAAUAAGACGGACGGUCAAAUGUUGGGCACAGAUAUUCACGGCUACACUUAUU
rfam:Oryza barthii chromosome 1, whole genome shotgun sequence.